GGGCACGUGGCGGAACGGUAUACGCGUACGGUUCAGAACCGUAUGGGGAAACCCUUGGAGGUUCAAAUCCUCUCGUGCCCA
rnacentral:tRNA from 1 species